UUGAACGCUGGCGGCAGGCCUAACACAUGCAAGUCGAGCGGUAACACAGAGAGCUUGCUCUCGGGUGACGAGCGGCGGACGGGUGAGUAAUGUCUGGGAAACUGCCUGAUGGAGGGGGAUAACUACUGGAAACGGUAGCUAAUACCGCAUAACGUCGCAAGACCAAAGUGGGGGACCUUCGGGCCUCAUGCCAUCAGAUGUGCCCAGAUGGGAUUAGCUAGUAGGUGGGGUAACGGCUCACCUAGGCGACGAUCCCUAGCUGGUCUGAGAGGAUGACCAGCCACACUGGAACUGAGACACGGUCCAGACUCCUACGGGAGGCAGCAGUGGGGAAUAUUGCACAAUGGGCGCAAGCCUGAUGCAGCCAUGCCGCGUGUGUGAAGAAGGCCUUCGGGUUGUAAAGCACUUUCAGCGGGGAGGAAGGCGGUGAGGUUAAUAACCUCAUCGAUUGACGUUACCCGCAGAAGAAGCACCGGCUAACUCCGUGCCAGCAGCCGCGGUAAUACGGAGGGUGCAAGCGUUAAUCGGAAUUACUGGGCGUAAAGCGCACGCAGGCGGUCUGUCAAGUCGGAUGUGAAAUCCCCGGGCUCAACCUGGGAACUGCAUUCGAAACUGGCAGGCUAGAGUCUUGUAGAGGGGGGUAGAAUUCCAGGUGUAGCGGUGAAAUGCGUAGAGAUCUGGAGGAAUACCGGUGGCGAAGGCGGCCCCCUGGACAAAGACUGACGCUCAGGUGCGAAAGCGUGGGGAGCAAACAGGAUUAGAUACCCUGGUAGUCCACGCCGUAAACGAUGUCGAUUUGGAGGUUGUGCCCUUGAGGCGUGGCUUCCGGAGCUAACGCGUUAAAUCGACCGCCUGGGGAGUACGGCCGCAAGGUUAAAACUCAAAUGAAUUGACGGGGGCCCGCACAAGCGGUGGAUCAUGUGGUUUAAUUCGAUGCAACGCGAAGAACCUUACCUGGUCUUGACAUCCACAGAACUUUCCAGAGAUGGAUUGGUGCCUUCGGGAACUGUGAGACAGGUGCUGCAUGGCUGUCGUCAGCUCGUGUUGUGAAAUGUUGGGUUAAGUCCCGCAACGAGCGCAACCCUUAUCCUUUGUUGCCAGCGGUUAGGCCGGGAACUCAAAGGAGACUGCCAGUGAUAAACUGGAGGAAGGUGGGGAUGACGUCAAGUCAUCAUGGCCCUUACGACCAGGGCUACACACGUGCUACAAUGGCAUAUACAAAGAGAAGCGACCUCGCGAGAGCAAGCGGACCUCAUAAAGUAUGUCGUAGUCCGGAUUGGAGUCUGCAACUCGACUCCAUGAAGUCGGAAUCGCUAGUAAUCGUAGAUCAGAAUGCUACGGUGAAUACGUUCCCGGGCCUUGUACACACCGCCCGUCACACCAUGGGAGUGGGUUGCAAAAGAAGUAGGUAGCUUAACCUUCGGGAGGGCGCUUACCACUUUGUGAUUCAUGACUGGGGUG
rnacentral:rRNA from 1 species